rnacentral:lncRNA from 1 species
AGCGUCAAACAGAACUUUACUCUCUUUUUAUAUCUCUAUGUUUCUAUAGGAGGGGGAAACAGCAACUGCAAUCACUGGGGAAACAGCCAUCGAUCUAAAUAAUUACAUAAGCAAGGGAGCAGGAGGCUUGGUGGGGCUUUCUGGGAUCACCUUGCUCUGAGCACUGGGAAACAUGCAACCCUCUGGCCUCCCUGUGGCUGCCUUCUCGGAUCCCAGCACGUACAGAAGUCACCUUGAAAGUUGACGAUCAACUUCUCAGAGAAAAAACAAAGAAGUAUUUAAGGGCAUCGAUGUUACCAAGGUGCCCAGGGGCAGCACCCAUGUGCCCGUGUGCCAGUGCUUGGGCGCAGAGUGGUGCAUGUGCAUGGGACCUCGGCCAGCACUGCACAGUGAUGACAGAAAGGCGACUCCGGCUUUCAACCCGAUUCUGAGGAUGCCUGAAUUCAGACGGGAAAUCAAUAAACCGGCUCCGAAUUAGCAGCAGUACAUCUUUCCUUUUCAGAGUGUGGAUCUGUUGUCUGGCAAAGCCAGUUUCC